AUGGCGCCCUCCUCCUCCACCUCCACCACGGCUGCCGCGGCGGCGGACGAGAGGGACCGCAAGCGCAAGCGCGGGGCCGGCGGCGAGGCGGGGACGGAGGCGGAGGCGGAGAGGGCGCCCAAGUGGCGGUCGCGGCGGGAGCACGAGAUCUACUCCACCAGGCUGCUCGACGCGCUGCGCCUCGUGCGCGCCGGGGGCGGCGUAGCCCCGUCGCCGGCGCGCCAGGUGCGCGACGCGGCCGACCGCGCGCUCGCCGUCGCCGCCCGCGGCCGCUCCCGCUGGAGCCGCGCCAUCCUCGCCUCCCGCCGCGCACACCGCGUCCACCGCGUGCGCCUCCACGCCCCGGCACCGUCCCCUGCACCUGCCCUGCCACAUCGCGCUUCGCCGGCGCUGGCGAGGAAGGCGAAGGCGCUGGGGCGGCUGGUGCCGGGGUGCAGGAAGCUGCCGUUCCCAGCGCUCCUCUCCGAGGCGUCCGACUACAUCGCCGCGCUGGAGAUGCAGGUGCGCGCCAUGGCCGCGCUCGCGCAGGCCCUCUCCGCCGUCUCCCCGCCGCCGUGA
rnacentral:rRNA from 1 species